AGUAAAUAGAUACCCUGGUAGUCCACGCCGUAAACGAUGAGUACUAGGUGUAGGAGGUAUCGACUCCUUCUGUGCCGCAGUUAAACACAAUAAGUACUCCGCCUGGGAAGUACGGUCGCAAGAUUAAAACUCAAAGGAAUUGACGGGGGCCCGCACAAGCAGCGGAGCAUGUGGUUUAAUUCGAAGCAACGCGAAGAACCUUACCUAGACUUGACAUCUCCUGAAUAGUGUAGAGAUACAUGAAGCCCUUCGGGGCAGGAAGACAGGUGGUGCAUGGUUGUCGUCAGCUCGUGUCGUGAGAUGUUGGGUUAAGUCCCGCAACGAGCGC
rnacentral:rRNA from 1 species